rnacentral:rRNA from 1 species
UACGUAGGGGGCAAGCGUUGUCCGGAAUCAUUGGGCGUAAAGAGCUCGUAGGCGGCUUGUCACGUCGACUGUGAAAACCCGGGGCUCAACUCCGGGCCUGCAGUCGAUACGGGCUGGCUUGAGUGCGGUAGGGGAGACUGGAAUUCCUGGUGUAGCGGUGAAAUGCGCAGAUAUCAGGAGGAACACCGGUGGCGAAGGCGGCUCACUGGCCCGAUACUGACGCUGAGGUGCGAAAGCGUGGGGAGCAAACAGG